AUGCAUCUAUCUGGCAGACAUGGAGCAGUUACUGUCUGCUGCUAAGAUUUUCACUACAGAUGCAAGGCAAAAGUGUCCUUAUGCUUUCUCUCUGAUUCUGGCAGUCAAGAUUGAAUAGAGGGAUACACAG
rnacentral:snoRNA from 1 species